UACUGGCCCCUUAAGUCCCGGUUG
rnacentral:miRNA from 1 species